rnacentral:tRNA from 1 species
GGGGGGGGGCNCAGCAGUGGUAGAACACUUGCCUAGCACGUUAGAGGUCUGGGUUCGAUCCUCAGCACCACA